rnacentral:rRNA from 1 species
AUGAACGCUGGCGGCGUGCCUAAUACAUGCAAGUCGAGCGAACAGACGAGGAGCUUGCUCCUCUGACGUUAGCGGCGGACGGGUGAGUAACACGUGGAUAACCUACCUUUAAGUCUUGGUUAACUUCGGGAAACCGGAGCUAAUACCGGAUAAUAUAUUUAACCGCUUGUUUCAAUAGUGAAAGACGGUUUUGCUUUCACUUUUAUAUGGAUCCCCGCGGCAUUAGCUAGUUGGUAAGUUAACGGCUUACCAAGGCAACGAUGCGUAGCCGACCUGAGAGGGGGAUCGGACACACUGGAAAUGAGACACGGUCCAGAAUACUACGGGAGGCAGCAGUAGGGAAUCUUCCGCAAGGGGAGAAAGCCUGAAGGAGAAAAGCAGCGUGAGUGAUGAAGGGCUUAGGAUCGUAAAACUCUGUUAUUAGGGAAGAACAAAUGUGUAAGUAACUAUGCACGUAUUGACGGUAACUAAACAGAAAGCCACGGCUAACUACGUG